rnacentral:rRNA from 1 species
UACGUAGGGUGCAGGCGUUAAUCGGAAUUACUGGGCGUAAAGCGUGCGCAGGCGGUUUGCUAAGACAGGUGUGAAAUCCCCGGGCUUAACCUGGGAACUGCGCUUGUUACUGGCAAGCUGGGAGUGUGGCAGAGGGGGGUGGAAUUCCGACGGUGUAGCAGUGAAAUGCGAUAGAGAUGUGGAGGAACACCGAUGGCGAAGGCAGCCCCCUGGGCUAACACUGACGCUCGAUGCACGAAAGCGUGGGGAGCAAACAGG